UGGCUACAUAGAGUUUGAGGGUAGCCAAGGCUACAUGAGACUCUGUCUCAAAGAAACAAAACAGGCAUUUUGAUUCUUAUCAGAUAUACUGUUUUUCUAGAUUAGACACCCAUACUUUUCCCUUCAUUUUAAUCUUAAAUAAAUUCACUCUAUCCGCAUUUGGACUAAAAAAUGUCCAAUCUUUUUCUUUUGGAUGUUUUGAAACAGUAAAACAUCAGGAUUUCAAUUUUUUCUUAGGCCCAUUCUUGCAUAUCUAUUAUUGUUAACAUGUUGGACCAGUAUAUAUUUGUUUUGUGAACAUUCAAUCUUAGUGUUACAUAAGAUGUGGAGAAAUGUGAAAUGUUAAAUGUAUUCAUAGAAAUCCUUGCAAGAGAAGAUAUGAUUUCUCUCCAUUUGGAAAUAAUACACAGGCUUCAGAGUUUCAUUUGGACAGUUUUCUAGGUUAUGCUAAUGCAGUACAGUUAGUUUGAUUUGUUGUUAUAAAUCCUAUCGUCAUAGAGAAAGGUGGGAUGAGUCACUAGUCCAUGUAAGACAUGUCUUUGGUUCUUUUGGUUUGGUUUAGUUUUGUUUUGUGACAGGGUCUCACUAUGUAACUCUAGCUGGCCUAGAACUCCCUGUGUAGGUCAGACAGGCCUGAAACUCACAGAGAUCUCUCUGCCUCUGCCUCCGAAGUGCUGGGACUAAAGGCGUUUGUCACCUCAGCUGACCAUCUCUUUGUUCUUAAAGCUGCCUUCUAGUAAGAUAUUGCUGGGGUUUAUGUGACAUAGCCUCUGAAGAAUAGAUAAUCCUCAUUGUGAAGUUUCAGGAUGUUCAUCUAAGUUAAAUCUACUUGUCUCAGAGCACAUUACACAUAGUCAUAUGGGCUUUCUAUUGAUCUGGGCCGUGCUACUUGAGAGAGAACUUGGCUGCAGAUAACUGAAUCAUCCAGCUAUGCUGUGUUUGAGGUCUUGCUAAUAGAUGUCAUUUAAGUAGGAAUUGAUUGAAAGCAUUGGAGUUUGCCAAGCAUCAUGACUAAUUCUCAGUGGUUUUGCUUCUCUGCUUUCUAGUGUUUUUCCUGGUUUUCAGACCAGGACUUUUUUUGUUGUUGUUUUUGUUUUUGUUUUUCGAGACAGGGUUUCUCUGCGUAGCUUUGAGCCUUUCCCGGAGCUCACUUGGUAGCCCAGGCUGGCCUCGAACUCACAGAGAUCCACCUGGCUCUGCCUCCCGAGUGCUGGGAUUAAAGGCAUGCGCCACCACCGCCCAGGCAGGCUGGUAUUUUUACUUAGAUAGUAAGUGGGCUUUCUUCCUCAGGACAGGCCAAAGUUAAAUAGUGUGAGUAUGUUAGAACACCUGAGCUUGUUGCAUUACAAAGAAAGUAAUUAUUGCUAGGGACAGUGACCUCAAGCCCUUAGAGAAGUCUGUACAGAUCAUCCAUUUCUAGUGUGUUAGAAGAUCAUCUUUUCUCAAAUGACACACAGCAAUGCUAGAAAGACACAUAAUUACCUGAAAUCCACAUUAUCUUUACAGAGGCUACAAAAAUAACUUUUAUAAAUAAUUUCUAAUCUCAUAUCCUUCCCCUUAUAUAUCAGAAACACUUCUUAACGCAGUUAAAAGAACUCCAGUAGCUCAAAUAGUGGAAGCUUUAAAUAGCAAAGCUAACUUACAAAGGCAGAGCAUGGGGUGGGGACAGGGGCUUUUCUAAUGCUUGUUAUCUGUGUCUGCUCAGUAGGCCCUGUGGAGGGACUCUCAAGUGCACCACCCAGUUAAGGUAGUCUUAGUUUGAGCAUCUCAUGUGACCAACACCAUAAGUUAAUGCCAUGCAUCUUAGGAUGUGAAUUAUACUAUAAUGCCAGAAGUUAAAUUAGCUCAUGGAAACAUGCAAUUACUUAUCUUCACUGGUAGGUAAUAUAUAGGAAACUAUGUCCAUUAAAUAAAUGUUAAAUACCUUUUGGUACCAGACAAUGUGGUUGGAAUUUGUAAAACACAACCAGCUUUAGUUAGUUGUGGCUUUCUUUUCUUUUGGGGGGUUUUGCUUUGUUUUUGGAUUUUUGGGGGGUUGUUUGUUUUUUGAGAGAGAGACAGGGUCUCCCUAGAUAGCCCUGGCUGGCCUAGAACUCACUACAUAUAGCAGGCUGGCCUUGAACUCAUAGAGAUCUGCUGCCUCUGCCUCCUGAGUGUUGAGAUUAAAGGUGUGCUCCACUGUGCCCAGCAUGGCUUCCCAUUCUUGAGAGUCCCAAACCUACUUCCUGGGAGUCUGAGACAUGAUUUUUAGAGAGCUUGCACUUUUUAAUAGAGAGACGUUCUAAAGGAGCACUGAACUGUCUCCCCUACUAGCAUAACUGCAAUCAUAUUGAAAUAAUCCUGAGGUGAUAAAAGUAAUAAUAAAAACAGCCCACUUUUUUUUUAGUGUUUAUGUGCCAGACACAGUUCUAUUAAUUUAUCUGCUCCUCAUGUCAGUCUGUUGUGGUUAUUGUUUCCUUCAUUUUAGAGAGAAGGACAACCUUUGUCUUUACAUAGGCAGCCUACCACCAGAUUCUCUGGAUAGCUUCUAGUGCCUUUAGUGAGUAUAAUUAUGGCACAUGUUAUAGAUAAGGACACUGCUGAGCCCAAGGGUACAUAACAGCUCGUAUUUACCAGUCCAGUUCCAAAGUCCAGACUACCUCCACUCUGUCACAUUUAUUUUCUGUGCAGUGGCUAAUGCUCUUCCUACUCUUACUGAACUUGCAAUAAAGAGUAGAGGCUGGAGAGAUGGUUAAGGCUCAGUGGUUAAGAGCACUGGCUCUUCUUCCUGAGGACCUAGAUUUUGUUUCCUUAGCACCUACAUGACAGGUCACAACUGUAACCCAAGAGUAAGUUACUAGCAGAUUUCUUCAAAGGGUCGUGCAGUUGGUCUCAUGCAGACUUGAGUAGGAACAUCGCCCACUUAAGGAGAAUUGCCCCUUUGGUAUGUCUGAUUUUAAGUUGAGUGAGUUACUAUUGAAAAGUGAAAUGUUUUCUGGUUAUCUAUUGCUGUGUAACAAAGUACCCUAAAGUUUAACUCUAAAGUGGCUUAACAACCAUUUUAUAAAUCUUACUUUGCAAAAAGUUAGAAGUUAAGGAAGGGGCAGUUGGUUGAACUGGUCUAGAAGGUCCAAGAUUACAUGCAUGCCUAGUGUAGGGAGACCUGAAAAGCUGGUUUAAUCUUUCCAUUGAAGGACUUUCGGGGGAGGGGGGAUGAGGGUGGCAGGGUUUCGAGACAGGGUUUCUCUGUAUAGCCCUAGAACUAGCUCUGUAGACCAGGCUGGGCUCAAACUCAGCGAUAUACCUGUUUCAGCCUUCCAAGUACUGGUAUUAAAGGCAUGAACCACCACUGGCUGGCAGGUAGUUGGGCUUCUUAAUAUGCAACUCAGGCUACUAAAAGCUGGGCAAACAAUCUGGUCUUCUUAAAGGCCAGGCCUACAGUCAUCAUGGGUUCACUGCCAUACUUUAGUCAGUGGUGAGCCCAGAUCUAGGGAAGAGGAAAUACCCUAACACUUUAUGAAAAACAUGAAGAGAUCUGAGACCAUGUUUAAUUGUUUACAGGUAACAUUAGGUUCUCAAUUUUUUUCCCUGAGCUUUUUGUGGUCAGUUAUUAGUGUUGUUUAAGCCAUUAUUACAUCUACUGUGGGACAGUCAAAGAUCUAGAAGGAGAAUUAGACAAAUACUUGAGGCUGUUUUAUUAGUUGCCUGCCUUCCCUCAAGUUGUGCCUGUUUGAAAGCAGCAGCCAUUCCUUUUCUUCUCUGUACUUGGGUCCAGGUUCCGAGCUUCGGCUGUACUGUGAGACCAUGAUAUCUACACAGCCUGAGCCAGAAAUGCUCUCGAGGAAAUGAGAAGCUUACUGUUUACAAUUCUGACUUCUUGGAGACAGCUCGUCACAAAUCUAAACGGUUUCAGCCAGUCGUGACAGCCCGAGUGAGUAGACGCUACCUGAAGGUUAGAGUUCUACCCUUAGCCUCCUCUUGAAGCAGAUGCUGAUGAUAUUUGAGAACGGUCUGUUUCCUAUAAGUCAGAGAAACCCAACUGUAGUGGUUAAGAACCACUCAAAACCAGAGAUGCUAUGCAGGAAACAAAGCUUAAAUGUGUUUCCUCUGGAAGCCAAAUUACUAAAUAGGUCACUAAAAGUGUGCUGAAAGUACCCUCUGAAAUGCUAUCAGAUGGCAGACAUACUUAGAAUUUAUAUGGAGUUUCUAGUAUUUUUACAAAAAUGACUUUAAGUCCGGUAAUGAGUUUUGUUGUUGUUUUUUAAUGAGCCCGUUUUCUUUUUGGAAAAAUGGCUCAAUAAAAAUAUCACUAAAGAAUUCAAUUGUAUAUGCAUGUGCGUUAAACACAGAAUGGUAUACUAAAGAUAGUUCAUGCAAAUAACUUUUAUGGAAAGUUUAGCUAUUUUCUUAAUGUCAUUUUCAUAAAUGUAUGUUUAUAAAUCUAUUUACUCACCACCAUGAUCUUGGUAGCAUAGAAGCAUUUCAUUAGUUGUGUUGUACUAAAAAUUAAAUUCUUGGCAUAGUAGGCUAUGAGAGCUUUAGUUAACUUUGUAUUGGGGCUGAAAAAAAAUUUCUUGCACUUUCUGUUUAUAAAGAUGUUAUAACACAUCUAACAGUACAGCUGCUUUUUUUAGAGCUGGCAGAUGUAGGUAUUAAAGUGAUAUAUAUGCUUAAAGCCCUCGAAAGAGAAAAUAUGCUUAUAGCUACCUGAGAAGGGUUAGGGAUCAGUACACAGAAUACAUCCUGAAAGUAGUUGUUGGGAUAAACAUACUGUCGCUGUGAAUUGCAAUAUAUCGCUGAGUUGUCAGGUAUAUGUGUGCAAAUUAUGUGUAUGUAAGGAAAAGAUGUUUAAUGAAGGCAGAUAAGUCAAUGUAAACUAUCCUACCUCCCGCUAAAUACUGAGCAUAGUCAAGAUUGUCCUGUAGCCCUUGGCCAUGAGCCUGAUUCCUUAGCCUCUCUACCCCCAUCCUUUUCUAUAUACAUUUCAGCUCCUCUACCUCUGAGCAUUUGCCUGAAAAAGUAGGGUGUAGCUUUCUAUAGCAAGCAGAGGAAAGCUAGACUCAAAAUACAGAGGUUACCAUGCAGAUGUUAAUGUUUGAUCUGUCUGGUAGAAGUGUCUAGUGCAGGUAGAGAGAGGCUUUCUUGGUUUUGCUCUUCUGUGUGUGCUGCACAUGUGCAGAGUUUUACUGUUACCCAGAUGAGCCUCAAACUCUCCAUCCUCCUGACUCACUCUCUGUUUUUGCUGUUUGCUUGUGAUGUUCCCAAGGACAGAACCCCAGGCCUUGCUUUGUAGCUCAGGCUGGCCUUGAACUCUUACUGUUCCUGCCUUGGCCUCUUGAGUGCUGCCACUUCCAGCAUGUGUCACCAUACCCACUCUUUGUGUUUGUUCUUAAAGAUGUCCCAACUCCUCUAAAUGAUGUGAAACAUCACUGUUCUUCCAUUGCCAGUCCCAGUUCUUUUUUUUCUUUCUUUCUUUCUUUUUUUUUUUUUUUUUUUUUUUUUUUUUUUUUUUGGUUUUUCAGGACAGGGUUUCUCUGUGUAGUUUUGGUGUCUGUCCUGGAUCUCGCUCUGUAGAUCAGGCUGGCCUCGAACUCACAGAGAGCUGCCUGGCUCUGCCUCCCGAGUGCUAGGAUUAAAGGCAUGCGCUACCACCACCCAUCUCCCCAGUUCAUUUUGUGGGUACUGGAAUAUUAACUACAUUUUCCUGAUAAUGAUCCUGCUACCAAUAUCUUACAUGGGUGUACAUGAUAAGGAUUUUUUGGAAGAUCUGUUUUGCUUUUGAUUAUUCCAAAGAGAGAUAUGUUUUUUUAAAUGCCAAUUACUGUUGUAAUAGUCAGGAUUUGGAUUUCUACAUGGCAGAAAAGUUCAUUUCAACAGGAAAAUGCCACCUGAUUAGAACUGAUUUCUCCUUGAGGUAGUAGUUCUGUAGCCAAGUUGGCUUACCUACCUUUUAACCAUUUGUUACUGCUGAGGAGUAACUAUUGGCUCUAACAGCUAUCUUGGGAAGCUUUCCACCUUUUCAUUCGAAUGCUCUGUCUGGGUUAUAAUGUCUAAAAACAGGAAUUCUCUGGUUAGAAAUGAAAACUAGCAAAUUAUCUAUUUUCAGAUCUCUAGGGUUGCCACUGUUUUUCUGGGUACUGUUUUCUUUUCUUGUGACAUUAGGUAAUGUGAAAUUCCCAAUAGAAAGAGAAGCAUUCCAUGUAAGUGACUGAGCAGUUUGUGAAUAAAUCCAUAUGAGGUCCUCCAGGGAGAAAGAUGGGCUGUUUCCUUGCUAAACCAUAGAGUGGUUCUCAGUCUUUUAGCCGUGCUAGUAUUUCAGACUUGGGAAUUAAAUUGUGCUUAGGAAAGUAUCUUCCUGUAGCUUGCUGUUUGUGCCCAGUCUUGUCCUAGGCCUGCCCUCAAUGUCUGACUAUAAACUGUACUUUAAAACAGAUGCUUAAUUAAGUCUCAAUAAUACUUUAUUGUCAGUGUUGUUGCCUUUUUGGCCAGACUGAUCUAUUUGGAAAGAAAAAAAAAAAAGAGUAAAGAAGUGCCCAGGUUAAUUAAAUUCAUGAAUCUAGAAGGAAACAGAUUCUUACCCUCUUCCUCUGGCUUGAAUGAGCAUUGACUUUAUGUUGUCUAUUUAAAAUCAGACCAGGUUGACUGGUCUGUUGUGCAAUCUGGGCUUAGAAAGAUCCCUAGGAAUGGAGCGGGAGUGCAGUGUGGCUUUGGUGGAAAGCUCCUCCUUAGCAUGCACAAGACCCUGGGUUCACUUCCCUGGACGACAACAUGCCCAGACGAUUCCGAUGUGCAGCCAGGGUUGGAAAUCACUCUGUGGGUAGUCAUUCGUACUCUUGGGCAGGAAAACCUGAAGCUAGUAUUAUUUCUUUCCCCAACUCCUCAAGCAAAAUGAAGGUGGGUUUGUAGUUGCAGAUUGAAAAGAGAAAGAAUUCCUUGGAGUGGAAGGGACUCCAGGAGAGAAAUGCCUAAAGCUAGAUUUCUUGACCCAGGUACCUUUGCUGCUAUCCCAGGCAUGGCUCUUGGCUUAAAGCUGACAAUGAGCCAGAGCUCAGACUCAUCUGUUUCUUCUCAGAGUAGGUCUGGAGGGAAAUGUUACAAUCAAUCCAGUAUCCUCUGUUACAAAUACAGGGUGUGCGUAAGUAAAUGAAAGCAGUUUUCAAGGCCUGUUCUCUAGAGUCCUUUUCCUCUGCACGUGUGAUUUAAGUGAAGAUUGUUCAGUUCAUAGGGAAAGUAGAACAGUACUUCAGUGUACUGUAAAAAUGCAGAACCAAGCCCAAGCUGUCUACAGCUACUUUUCUUUGUAAAUCAAGCAAGCAGUGUUGCUACUUUAUAGAGGAAAGAAUAAUCCUGCCUUGGGUGAUUAUAACACUUCUGAUUAUUUGUCCCUUAGCCUAGUAGGAUUUCUUUGUCAAGUGACUCUUGCUUUUUCUUAGCUGUUUCUUUCUGAAUGAAAUAACUAUCCAAGGCUUAAAUAUUCUGACUAGUAUGUGAAAUUUUAACAUCUUUGUUUUAGGAUGUUAAAAAGACCUAAACCAAUAAUUCCCGAAUAAGAUUCCAUAGCUUCCAUUCUUACCCUUAGUAGAAGAGAUGCAUAAUAGCCAUGACAGUUUAUUACCUGCCUGUGGCAACCUUCCACAUGAUAAUAGAAAACCACUUUUCAAAGCAGCUCCUAAGCAGCUUCUAGCUGCUGGAAGAAAUGUGUGCUUCAAGAGCAAGUUGAGUGUAGCAGACUCUCGAGUAUCCUGGACAUAUAGAAAAGUCCCUUCAUAUAUUGCCCAUAAGUCAUUGAUAAUGUGGAUUUCAGAAAUAGAUUGUGGAAGAAAAGAUGGACUAAGGGAAAAGUUGAUGAGAGCAGAGGACUAAGUAGCAUCAGAAUAUGGACAUGUGUUCUGAGCAGCAUUAAGGCCUUGGUGUUGAUUGGCUGUAAAUGCUGCAGGUCAGAGAGCCAACUGGCUCCCUAGCCUUAGGAAGCUCGCCGAACACCUGCUGAUAGUGAGUGGGAGAGGAAAGCAGUUCCUGUUGAAAACCCUCAGGCUGCCAUGCUAGAGAAAAGAACUUUAUGCAGAUGAUACCACACUGCUCUUUAAGAUUUGGAAGAGACAAAAAAGUGGGGAAGUGUUAGUAAAAGGUAAAUGUGUCAGCUUUUGGUAUUUUGAGCAAGGGAUAAAAGAAAUUUCUACCACAACUGUGAAGUCAGAUCAUCUUCUGCCCUGAUGCCUUGUCUUGCUCAUCCACUCAUUCAUUCUGCCUCCCUUGCGCUCGCUCUCGCUCUCUCUCUCUCUCUGUCUCUCUCUCUCUCUCUUUCUUUCUUUUUCUUUUAGUACUGGGUAUUGAACCCAAGAAUCUGGAGCAUGCUGGGCAAGCAUUCUGCCACUGAACUAUAUAGUUCCAGAUCCAAAUCCUUUCUGAAACAGCUAAGCAACUGCUGGCCUGAUCCCAGUGUGACCUUGCUCCAUCUGGCAAAAGUCAUUACCAAAAGCAAGUGUGCUCUCAGAGUCCGUUAGCUGUUCAACUACUGUGGUCUCUUCACAGCUUCAGCCUGUUGCAUUGUUUUGUGUUCUAAUGGAUUGAUUACUCAGGGCCCAGUGGCUUCCUUUCCCUUUAAGACAUCUUAAGAACAGCACUCCAGACUUGGGCUUGUUGCCUACCUACGUGAGGGAAAAGCACAUUGGCAGAGCACUUAGAUUUCCGGGUUUCUGUCUUUUAGGAUGGGGCCCGCUCAGGCACUGCCUCUGAAAGGCUGAGGGUUGAAAGAGGAAAGUCAGUGAGGCAGAAAUCUGAUUCCUUCAGUGGACCUAUUCUGAAGGAACUCUAACUCUCCUCUAUGGUGCUUAUUUAACGGGUGACAGCUGUCUCCCAUCUACCUGUCCCUGGCACUGUGCCUUCCCACUGGUCACUGUGAAAAGUAGAUCACACUGGACUCAGAGGCAGAAUCCAGGACAAGAUCCCUCUUCUUGAGCCCAUUACUUCUUCAUGCAGCUUAUAAUGUAGCAUUAACUUCUCUUGGAGAAUUUCCAGGGUUUUCUUGCCAAGAAACAGUAAAACAUUUACAAGAAACCAGAAAAGUAGAUUUGGGUUAGAGCUGUCACAAUAAGAAAUCACAGAAAGAUUUCAUUUCAGCUGCUACUGAGUGACAGCAAGAAUCAAACUGUGGUCUCGUCCUGUUUCUGAAGCUGACACAGUAGCGUUUGUAAGCAGCAGACUCACCUAGACGGUUUCCAUAGCUGUUCAUCAAGGAGAAUUUGUACUGAAACAGACAAUCACUUUCUAAAACGUUUAGUCCUGCACGGGAACGGGGUAGAGUAUUUUUAACUAUAAGAACUUAGCAGUCUGUUUUCUCCCUAUGAGAAAAGUCUUAACAUUUGAGGUUUGUGUCUUUCAUCUGUAACAAUUACUCCGUUAAUGGUAAAGAUGCCUCAAAAAAGAGUGCCCCCAGGAAGCUUCCACACCGCUGAGAGCGCCGGGCUGGCUGUGUGCAUCUUACCUCCUAAGACUUUUGUUUUUGUUGUGACCUUGAUUAUAAGGAUCUAUAUGUAGGAGUAGGAUUUUCUCUCCCCGGCCCUCCUUCAGUCAUCACUUAAGUGUAAACCCUUCCCCUUUACUGAGAAGACAAAAUAUGCACUUUAAUUCCUAAGGAGUGUGGCUGUCGUGGGCCUGAAGCCAGAACUCAGGAGGAGAGCUGAAGAGGGAAACUUGCCAGACCCUGUAAGAUUGAACCAAAUCUCUGCCCUACCCCCUAGUGCUGGGGAUUGAGCCAGGGCCUGCCUUCCACAUGCUAGGCAACUGCUGUCCAGUAUCUUAAUGUGAACACGAAUUACCACCUAUUUAAGCUGCCCCCAAGCACUCCUUGCCAAAGGGGCAAAGAACCACUAAACAAAGGAGUUCAGAAUACCUACCCUGAUUUUGGAAUUUUUCCUGGGGGAAAUUUUAUUUUUAUUGAAUUACUUUUUAGCUACCAAAUUAAAAAAAAAAUCUGUGUUGUUUUGUGAUAAGCUUUUUUUUUCUUUCUUUUUUGAUUAAAAAUCAAGUAAAACUACAAGAGCACUAGAACAUCAUUCAGAAGUGUAUCACAUCUAAGGACCGGGUUCAUUCCCCUUAAUUUGACAGGUGUCCUCAGACUCUCCUCCUGUCGACUGACUCUGUCUUCCCCUGGUGAAAAGCCAAUCGUUCUUGGAGGGAUAGCAUGUCUCCUAGAGCCCUGUUGUGUCGGGGAGGGGGGAGGGCAGGAGGGUCAGGGGAGGGGAACUCGAAGAAGAGUUCAGAUGUGGGUUUAUAUAAACAUAUUUAAAGCAGUUAGCAAAAGCUUUCUUGUUGAACAGCUUUAAGAACAAUGUGAAUGAAACCUUAGCAACUUGGUUAGUAAUCUGAAAAGUCUAUUAAUGUAUACUUGAAAUUCUGUUUGUAUAAAAAUGCAUUUCCUCUUUAUUUUGACACUGUGUAUAAGAACAUUAUGCAUGUGAGUGGUUUGAGAAAUAAAAGGUUUAAUACUCA